rnacentral:rRNA from 1 species
AGCGAACGCUGGCGGCAGGCCUGACACAUGCAAGUCGAACGGACCCUUCGGGGUUAGUGGCGGACGGGUGAGUAACACGUGGGAACGUGCCUUUAGGUUCGGAAUAGCUCCUGGAAACGGGUGGUAAUGCCGAAUGUGCCCUUCGGGGGAAAGAUUUAUCGCCUUUAGAGCGGCCCGCGUCUGAUUAGCUAGUUGGUGAGGUAACGGCUCACCAAGGCGACGAUCAGUAGCUGGUCUGAGAGGAUGACCAGCCACACUGGGACUGGGACACGGCCCAGACUCCUACGGGAGGCAGCGGUGGGGAAUCUUGCGCAAUGGGCGAAAGCCUGACGCAGCCAUGCCGCGUGAAUGAUGAAGGUCUUAGGAUUGUAAAAUUCUUUCACCGGGGACGAUAAUGACGGUACCCGGAGAAGAAGCCCCGGCUAACUUCGUGCCAGCCGCCGCAGUAA